GAUGAAGAACGCAGCGAAACGCGAUAGUUAAUGUGAAUUGCAGAAUUCAGUGAAUCAUCGAGUCUUUGAACGCACAUUGCGCCCAUCGGUAUUCCUUUGGGCAUGUCUGUUUGAGCGUCAUUACAACACCUCAGCACACGCUGGUUUUGAGCUGUGAGGGUUCUUCUGAAUCCUUCCGCUUUAAAGUUGUAAGCUCUGCUGGCUUCCAGCUUGACCGGAAACAUAGUAAACUUCUUGCUUGUUUAUGGAAAGGUUGUGGAGUUCGGCCUGAACAACACCUUCAAUUUCUAAGGUUUGACCUCAGAUCAGACAAGGAUACCCGCUGAACUUAAGCAUAUCAAUAAGCGGAGGA
rnacentral:misc_RNA from 1 species